rnacentral:rRNA from 1 species
GACGAACGCUGGCGGCGUGCUUAACACAUGCAAGUCGAACGAGGUUCAGCCGAUCCUUCGGGGGAAGCGAAAAUCUAGUGGCGAACGGGUGCGUAACACGUGAGAAACCUGCCCCGGACU